rnacentral:rRNA from 1 species
GUAGGUGGCAAGCGUUGUCCGGAAUUGUUGGGCGUAAAGCGCGCGCAGGCGGGUCCUUUAAGUCUGAUGUGAAAGCCCACGGGCUCAACUGUGGAGGGUCAUUGGAAACUGGGGGACUUGAGUACAGAAGAGGAAAGCGGAAUUCCAAGUGUAGCGGUGAAAUGCGUAGAGAUUUGGAGGAACACCAGUGGCGAAGGCGGCUUUCUGGUCUGUAACUGACGCUGAGGCGCGAAAGCGUGGGGAGCAAACAGGAUUAGAUACCCUGGUAGUCCACGCCGUAAACGAUGAGUGCUAAGUGUUAGGGGGUUUCCGCCCCUUAGUGCUGCAGCUAACGCAUUAAGCACUCCGCCUGGGGAGUACGGCCGCAAGGCUG